rnacentral:rRNA from 1 species
UACGUAGGGUGCAAGCGUUGUCCGGAAUUACUGGGCGUAAAGGGCUCGUAGGCGGCCAACUAAGUCAUACGUGAAAUCCCUCGGCUUAACCGGGGAACUGCGUCUGAUACUGGAUGGCUUGAGUUCGGGAGAGGGAUGCGGAAUUCCAGGUGUAGCGGUGAAAUGCGUAGAUAUCUGGAGGAACACCGGUGGCGAAGGCGGCAUCCUGGACCGACAUUGACGCUGAGGCGCGAAAGCCAGGGGAGCAAACGGG